CACUGGUAUUUUGGAUUCAUCACCAAAAGAAACAUUACCACUCACCGAUUCAUCGAGCUCCAUGAACAUGCUCCUCUUUCCACACAUAUUGUUGCUCGCCCCGGUGUCAAGGUACCAAGUGUUGUCUUAUCUCCCUUCUUCUCCUUUGUAUGCUAGAAGUAGGGUCACGUCUUUUUGGCCCUUAUCCUCCACAAGGUUGGCGGUCUCUUCGACUUUGGUUUGAGACNNNNN
rnacentral:lncRNA from 1 species